ensembl:lncRNA
CAAUAUCACAAGGACCACAGAUCUACGAUGAAAAGCUCAGAAUGGAGAAGUUCAGAAGAGAGACAAGUAUACGAGAGGAACGGUGGAGGUGAGCAGACGGAGGAGAAACACAACGACCGAGACAGUCAAUUAGUUUUGCCUCUUUGCGGCGUGUCACCUGCAGACAGAAACUUCAUUUCCAGUGAUUAAAUUCCCCAAAAAUAUUUCAUCUGUCAGUGUCACGGCCACCGACGUGUCCUGCGCACUCAGCCGUG